rnacentral:rRNA from 1 species
GACGAACGCUGGCGGCGUGCUUAACACAUGCAAGUCGAACGGAAAGGCCCUGCUUUUGUGGGGUGCUCGAGUGGCGAACGGGUGAGUAACACGUGAGUAACCUGCCCUUGACUUUGGGAUAACUUCAGGAAACUGGGGCUAAUACCGGAUAGGAGCUCCUGCUGCAUGGUGGGGGUUGGAAAGUUUCGGCGGUUGGGGAUGGACUCGCGGCUUAUCAGCUUGUUGGUGGGGUAGUGGCUUACCAAGGCUUUGACGGGUAGCCGGCCUGAGAGGGUGACCGGCAACAUUGGGACUGAGAUACGGCCCAGACUACUACGGGAGGCAGCAGUGGGGAAUAUUGCACAAUGGGCGGAAGCCUGAUGCAGCAACGCCGCGUGCGGGAUGACGGCCUUCGGGUUGUAAACCGCUUUCACCUGUGACGAAGCGUGAGUGACGGUAAUGGGUAAAGAAGCACCGGCUAACUACGUG